ACCAUGCAGUCGAACGAUGACUUCUGUGCUUGCACAGAAUGAUUAGUGGCGAACGGGUGAGUAACACGUGAGUAACCUGCCCUUGACUUCGGGAUAAGCCUGGGAAACCGGGUCUAAUACCGGAUACGACCUCCUGGCGCAUGCCAUGGGGGUGGAAAGCUUUAUUGCGGUUUUGGAUGGACUCGCGGCCUAUCAGCUUGUUGGUUGGGGUAAUGGCCCACCAAGGCGACGACGGGUAGCCGGCCUGAGAGGGUGACCGGCCACACUGGGACUGAGACACGGCCCAGACUCCUACGGGAGGCAGCAGUGGGGAAUAUUGCACAAUGGGCGAAAGCCUGAUGCAGCGACGCCGCGUGAGGGAUGACGGCCUUCGGGUUGUAAACCUCUUUCAGCAGGGAAGAAGCGAAAGUGACGGUACCUGCAGAAGAAGCGCCGGCUAACUACGUGCCAGCAGCCGCGGUAAUACGUAGGGCGCAAGCGUUAUCCGGAAUUAUUGGGCGUAAAGAGCUCGUAGGCGGUUUGUCGCGUCUGCUGUGAAAGCCCGGGGCUCAACCCCGGGUCUGCAGUGGGUACGGGCAGACUAGAGUGAUGUAGGGGAGACUGGAAUUCCUGGUGUAGCGGUGAAAUGCGCAGAUAUCAGGAGGAACACCGAUGGCGAAGGCAGGUCUCUGGGCAUUAACUGACGCUGAGGAGCGAAAGCAUGGGGAGCGAACAGGAUUAGAUACCCUGGUAGUCCAUGCCGUAAACGUUGGGCACUAGGUGUGGGGGACAUUCCACGUUUUCCGCGCCGUAGCUAACGCAUUAAGUG
rnacentral:rRNA from 1 species